GACAGAGGGUGCGAGCGUUAUUCGGAAUUAUUAGGCGUAAAGGGCGUGUAGGCGGUUAAGUAAGUCAAAUGUGAAAUGGUUGUGCCCAACAUGACUACUGCAUUUGAUACUGCUUAACUUGAGUGUAGGAGAGGUAAUUGGAAUUCCUAGUGGAGAGGUCAAAUUCAUUGAUAUUAGGAGGAACACCAGAUGCGAAGGCGAAUUACUGGAAUACUACUGACGCUGAGGCGCGAAAGCGUGGGGAGCAAACAGG
rnacentral:rRNA from 1 species